GAGAGAGAGAGAGAGAGAGGUGGAUGCAAAAAUAAGUUUCUUACUACAUCACAAGCUCUUGACAAAAAUGAAUAACAGUAGCAUAAAGAAUGACCCUUCAAACACCAUAUGUUUUAUCAGAACAAAAAUAAUUAACCUCAAAGUGAGAGACCGGCUGCUCAAUACUAAUGUUGCAUUGCAAUCACAAGGCCAUAAUCUUAGACCCUGCUACCAUAGUAUCAUAGUGAUAAAAAUAUCUGCUAAAAAAGUUCUUGUUAAAAGAUGCCCACAAAUAACUUUAAACUAGAAAAGUUUUGUACACCUAAUUUCUCACUGAGGUAUCACCAAAAAGGUUACAAAAAGAAAAUAUAUCUUACAUCAGCAAUUUCUACAUUCCAAGGCCAAACACCAACAAAUAUGGAAUCAUAUAAAAUUGCUUUCAAGCAACUAGAGUCCAUGUCAUUCAUGAUUAUUCAUCACCAUGAGCAGUAAGAGAAACUAUCAUUUUGAUUUAGAUAAAUAAUUGUGCAUGAACAUUAUCAAUUUGUAAUACUAUGCAAAAUGACGCAAUCUAUUGUAUAAAUACUAGAAAUUAAUACAAAGAGUCAUUGAGAUUUUCUUUAUUCCACAAACAUUGCUUUGGGCCAAGUACCAGAGCCUGAAAAUGGCUAACACCAACACUUGUUCCUCAUCUUAAACUCGUCUCUUGCACUGCUUUGACACGGCCUCACCAUUCAUUCUCCAGUGAACUUACUAACAAAUUAUUGAGCAUGGACAACCAGUUUAUUCAUCUUUCAAAUUAUCAAAACCUAUCAGAAUUUAUUGAUGGUACCAAAAAAAAAUCUGCCAAAGAUAAUUCAACAACGCAAACCUGAUAAAUUGGAGGCUACUGUACAAGGAGUCAGUUUGGUUGUGUGAUGGGUCUUGGUUGCACAGACUCCAAGGCCCCAAAACAUAGUUUAUUUCAUAAGCAUGUUUCUAGAGCUUAGGGAGAAACUACCAUUUCAAUACCUGGGAGUUCAGGCACCCACGGCCUCCCACAUCAUCCAACUCCCUUAAUAUCGCGUUUGGUUCCAGGACCAAAGGAUUAUUUCUUGGCUUUUCUCUUUCUUAUCCGAGGAAGCUUUUUCCCCAUGUUGUUGGCCUAAAAAAUUGUCACCAGGCUAGGGAGCAAACAUAUAUGGCUAAAUCUUUGAGGCACAACAAUUACAGUUCAGAAGAAGUAAUAUCGCAAUAAAAUGU
rnacentral:misc_RNA from 1 species